rnacentral:lncRNA from 1 species
AUGUUCUCAUUAGAGAAUGUCCUUCAUUUUCAAGCUGGACUUGGAGUCCUAGCCAAUAUGAUUCUGCUAGCAUUUUAUAUUUUCUUAAUCCUAAAUCACAGACCUAAGCCCAUUGGCCUAAUCUCCUGCCAUCUGACCUUUGCUCACAUAGUGAUGAUCCUCACUGGAGGAAGUAUCAUGCUUACAGACAUAGUUGGGUCUCUGAAUGUUGAGAAUGGCAUCAAAUGUAAGGCAACUCUAAACACAAACAGGGUGAUGAGAGGCCUCUCUAUCUGCAUCACCUGCCUCCUGCGUGUGUUCCAAGCUGUCACAAUUAGUCCCAGUAGCUCUCUACUGGCAAAUUUAAACAUAAACUAAA